rnacentral:rRNA from 1 species
UACGUAGGUGGCAAGCGUUGUCCGGAUUGACUGGGCGUAAAGCGCACGCAGGCGGUUGCGCGCGUGGGGUGUGAAAUCUGGCCGCUUAACGGCCAGGCGCCAUCCCAUACGGCACAACUGGAGGGCUGCAGAGGUCGAUGGAAUUGCCGGUGUAGUGGUGAAAUGCGUAGAGAUCGGCAGGAACACCCAGGGGGAAACCAGUCGACUGGGCAGCACCUGACGCUGAGGUGCGAGAGCGUGGGGAGCGAACCGG